rnacentral:rRNA from 1 species
UGGGGCAUAUUGCACAAUGGGCGCAAGCCCGAUGCAGCCAUGCCGCGUGUGUGAAGAAGGCCUUCGGGUUGUAAAGCACUUUCAGCGGGGAGGAAGGCGAUAAGGUUAAUAACCUUGUCGAUUGACGUUACCCGCAGAAGAAGCACCGGCUAACUCCGUGCCAGCAGCCGCGGUAAUACGGAGGGUGCAAGCGUUAAUCGGAAUUACUGGGCGUAAAGCGCACGCAGGCGGUCUGUCAAGUCGGAUGUGAAAUCCCCGGGCUCAACCUGAGAACUGCAUUCGAAACUGGCAGGCUAGAGUCUUGUAGAGGGGGGUAGAAUUCCAGGUGUAGCGGUGAAAUGCGUAGAGAUCUGGAGGAAUACCGGUGGCGAAGGCGGCCCCCUGGACAAAGACUGACGCUCAGGUGCGAAAGCGUGGGGAGCAAACAGG